UACAGAGGUCUCAAGCGUUGUUCGGAUUCAUUGGGCGUAAAGGGUGCGUAGGUGGCGCCGUAAGUCGGGUGUGAAAUUUCGGAGCUUAACUCCGAAACUGCAUUCGAUACUGCGGUGCUUGAGGACUGGAGAGGAGACUGGAAUUCAUGGUGUAGCAGUGAAAUGCGUAGAGAUCAUGAGGAAGACCAGUGGCGAAGGCGGGUCUCUGGACAGUUCCUGACACCGAGGCACGAAGGCCAGGGGAGCAAACGGGG
rnacentral:rRNA from 1 species